UAGCAGAAUAGGAGUCAAUCCUCGUUCAAAGCCAUUCUAUCUUUUAAAAAUCCAGAAAAGAGCGCGUGACGUGAAAUAUUCAUCGCUGGAUUUUGGUAUGCAAAUGAGUAAAAACGAAGAACCGCGCCUCAGAGCGCAUCAUCUAUGCCGACGAAGGCUUCUCAGGGCCGGAAAGCGGUUUAUCUAGUCAGCAUAUCGGCCAACUCCAAUCAUCUCCGUUGCUCCAAAUCACGUGGCCUCUGACAUGAAAUGAGCGCUGUGCUCUCUGCGGUCCCAGUCACUGCGGUUUCGUGUCAAACUUCAGGGAUGGAUAUUUUAACGCACGUGCGUGUUUCAGGAAUUGCUAGACGCGGAAUGGCUUUUAACAAGCAUAGUCUCUCAUUCUGCUAUCGCGCUUUUGCACAGAAUCCCCUAAUUGCAGAGUUAAUUAAUGAAUUUUAUGUAAUUAGUCAACUUGUAGUUUUAUACAUUCUUCGAGAGGAUGUCCGCCUGGUCCUAUAAUUUGACUGCAAAAAUGACAUCUGUGCUGUCCUCAUAGCGUUUUUUUUUAUAAAAAUUCUGCAAAGCAUCAAAAUAAGCACCCUGUAUAGUACUUGGGCUUGUUGAAAAUGGAAUCACGCUAAAACUUUGGCAAUCAAUCUCACGAAGCUUGUGUUCCUCCAGCUCGGGCGUGAUUACUUAGUAUACGGGCUGUAGUUCCACAAUCCGUGAAAUCAAUUAAUAAUGAGAGGAUAGAGAGGUAGCAAGCGAGCUGGUGGUAUAGAUCCAUAACUUAAACCCCCGAGACUAGGGGACAAAAUUGAGACCUUGUCUGUGUUUGUCGUUUUUUUGUCCCCUAGUCUAGGGUUUUUAAGUUAUGGAUCAAUUAAUAAUGUUGAAAUGCCUUGCGCUGAGUUGAGGGAAGUAUUUUGACUGUGAAACUACCCGCCUGCCAACUGCUGCGAAGAUAGUGCAAGCAUGAAACGGUGGGCCAGCACAAACCCUGCUUACUAAAAUCAGUGCUUACUACUACUGCUUUGAAUUCAGAGAGUUCUGGUGACGCCACAUAUAUGUGUUCGAUGUUGUACAUGGCGCUACAGCCCUGUCAGGUCGCAAAAAGACGGUGAAAACGUAUUGAAAGACGCACAGUAAAAUUAUAUGAAACAACCUUAACGAUCACAAUGGUGGUUACGGUGGGUGAUAUCGCCCAGGUGAAAAUCUGAACUGGAUUCCGAAGUGGUUCCAUUUGUAUGCCAAAGUGGUUUGAAGUGGAGUAAACCGUCUCUGGUUCAGAGUAAAGUGCUUCCACUUGAUUGCCAAGUGGUUUCCAACUGUUUGUUGGGUCCAUAUACCAGAAACAUUCGCGCAGAGUACCGGAAUCGAACUUUGCACAAUUUUCACUUGAGUUUGAAACCGAAACUUUAAUGGCCUCGUCGUCGACACGAGGAGCAAGACCGAGCGCCAUCUGCAUCAGUACGUGUUUUGAAAUGUCGUUGCUGUUGGUCGUCGAGCUCGUCGGUUCGCAGUUUUCGUCUUUCAACUCUUCAAAACGGGCAAAAACGUGAAUAUUUAGAAUCUCAGUCGUCAGGCACUGCAUUAUGUACAACUGCUUGUGUUACAACUUAUGCACCAGCUCAGUCGGAAGAAACUACAAGCGAUGCGCAGGACUGCAAUUACGCUGGUAAGUAGUAGUGAUUCGAUAUUUAUGUACAUAUUUAUCUCGGUUCUACUCCCCGUUAUUACUGUUGUCUAAAAUAUCGUAAGUGCAGGCUACCUGUUGGGUAAUCUCCACGCCUUCCUGCUCAGGCUUCUCUCCCAUGGGGUUACUAUUAUUUAUCUGAACUUUGUGUAGCCUGCUAGUGCUUGAAUUGGCUUUGUUAUGAAUUGUCUUGUAGCUUGCAGUUUGUCAUACAAAUGGAGGAGACUUGCAGGAUGCUUACGAAUCAUACAGAACAAGGGCCAGCUACUGAAAAGAGGUAUGUGGCAUAUGAUUGUUGCAGGAAAACAUUUACGUGUACUUUUGCGAAAAGUUUUUCUACAGGUUUUCUCACUGAAACUGAAUUCCCAGUUUAUCGCUUCAAUAUGCACUACGUUUAUGUAAUUUUGUCCUCGGAUGAGGAAAGAAUGGAUCCAGUCUCAUCUGCCACGAGGUGUCCUUCAGAAUGACGUAGGAGCAGCAACACUUCUUACUGGCUAUCAUGCUGAUAUAAAUAUAAACUGUACUUUUUGCACGAAACAGGAUUGCAGAUACUAAAGUAGCAAUGUGGGUAGUUGGUGCUGACGGCUCAUCUCAAAGCAGCAACACAAGACAAGGACGACGAGUGAAAAAGCAGUAAGUUCUUAUCACUCGUCGUUUCUGUCCUGUGUUACAGCUUCGAGAUGAACUGGGCUGCCGACUGUUGGUAAGACCAAAUUAUCUUCACGUAAAGCAGCAUUGCCACUGGUGUGAAUUUCUUCUUUUCGGUGAUAACAAUACAUUCGGGUACAGGUGUCGUAGUACAGUCGGCUUGCACUUUUUCUAUCAUUGACUCCAGACAUCAUUUAUGUCCGAUUAACUAGCAUAUACACAGGAGUGUUAUGAGAAAUGAUCUGAAAGUUGCCAUGUUUUACAGAUGCGGAGAAAGGUCACUUGCGCCACUCUCACUGCACCGCCGAAUUUUAUGGCAAGUCGAGUCCUUUCCUUCCAGUUAUGCUACUGUCAUAAUGAACGCCACUUUGCCAGUGCUUAAGUUUUUUCAGUAAGCAAAGUUGCAAAGCAAAGUUCAGUAAAGUCAGUUGUGACUUGGAUAGGUGAGCAUGCGGAUCUGGCUAGUUCUAGACGAGGGUAUUAUAGCUGUUGGCAUUUCAGUAUGAAGAACCCCUUGGCUCGGCCUCACAUAUGCAGUGCUGUUCCGUGAAACGUAGCCAGUACUCAACGUGUUCUUUGUGUGGAUUAUGGCCGUCGCACAAGAGGAAGAUUUUGAUGUAGCCGGGCGCUGAGGAGCGUGACGUUGCGGGCAACGAGCACGAGCUGUGCAAUGACUGCGACGACCUUUAUGUGUGGUCUCAUCUUGCAUCUGACCCAAUAUGCCAUUAAGCGAAACAGAAAACUUCGUGCCACUAUUAUGUUUGAAGUGGACACUGCGACAAAAAGGCGGCUACGCCACGGCAAAGAACUUGCAUCAAAGGAAUCAAGAACCGAAGAUGCAUCUCGCCAUUAAAUCGAGAACUAUAGGGUACUGUGUGCGACUAAGUUAAGAGAUAAACAUUUUUAAGUGCAAUAUCAAGAGGUGCCGAAGAUGUGUUCCAAUAUCAUCCAGAUAAACGUGUGUGACAGUGCGACUAAGUCAAGCCAAGACUGAAACAUUUUUAAGUGCAGUAUCAGGAGACGUCAAAUAAUCUGCAUCAAAACAAUCGGCAGCUGAAGAUGUGUCUCAACAUUAAAUCAAGAGAACCAGGCAACGGUGUGUGACUAAGUCAAGUCAAAGUGAAACAUUUUUAAGUACAAUAUAAAGAGUGAAAGUGUUUUCGUAUUGUGUAGCAUAAAAUAAAGAACUUUUGGAGUCUUGUUA